rnacentral:lncRNA from 1 species
AUGGGAAAGAUGGUGGUAGGGGUUGGCUGUGAGUAUAGGUAUCUCUCGACGACUGGCAGUUUGAUUAGUAGACCUGAUAACAUGCCAAAGAAAAUGACUCCUCCCUGCUGGUGUGGUCUGUGCCAAGCACAUCACAUGCCUGCUUCCCACAGCCACUUUCCUGCGGUCCAAGGUCGCAGACCGAGGUGGGGCUCCAACUCCAGCGACCACGCCCGCGCACGAGGAGCAGCGCCCCCUAGGGAGCCGAGGGAUGGCCGCGGGAGGCCCCAGGGCCGGCAGUCGGCGCCGGGUGUCAGCAGCCAGGGCACCCGCUGCCGGCUUGCGAGCCGAGGGCCAGCAAGCAUUCCACAGCCACUGGUCUGCCACCAGCCAGGCACUGUGCUAGGAACCUAUGAGUCUGGGGCCCAGUGCCUGGCUUGGAGAGCUUGCAAUCUGGUGACAGUUACACUGUAAGCAAGUGGAUGAAAGCUACCUAUGGCAGCAGAUGCUGUAUCAUCAGUCAGAGUCCCAGUAUAAACAGGUAACACAUUCCAUUCAAGAAAGCCAUAUGCUUGAAGGUGUAUGGGUAGAGUUGAGGGAAGUCAACAAGAAAUGACCCAGGAUCCCAGGGCCAGGGAGAGAGAGGGGCUGUUACCACCCUGAGGCCUGGAGGAUGAAGGGCAGGGACUGUAGUUGGAUGGAGAAAGCCAUCAGGUGACCAGACUCGCCAUCACCUAGAAAGAAAAACAAAGAAGACCAAAGGGAAUGAGGCAGGUUUUGAUGGAAGGGAGAAGCCAGGGGAAAACCCUGCUUCACUCUCCCUGGGAUUUCUGGUCUCUGCCAGUGCCUUCCAACGGCCACCCCCAACCCAGAAGCCAGCGAUCAAGGGGGCGGCCUGGUGCUGCCCAGACGGGUCAGCCUCAGGGCAGAGAGCAGAGUAGAGAAUAGAUCUGGAUUUGCAAACAGAAGACAUCCAGCCACUGGCACAUAGUGGCAAUUAUUGGACAGUCUGGUGAUUUGGCAAAAAAGUGACUAUGAUUAAUAUUCCUAUACAGUGAAAUUCUAUAGUUUU